GACGAACGCUGGCGGCGUGCUUAACACAUGCAAGUCGAACGGAAAGGCCCUGCUUGCAGGGUACUCGAGUGGCGAACGGGUGAGUAACACGUGGGUGAUCUGCCCUGCACUUCGGGAUAAGCCUGGGAAACUGGGUCUAAUACCGGAUAGGAGCCAUUUUUAGUGUGAUGGUUGGAAAGUUUUUUCGGUGUAGGAUGAGCUCGCGGCCUAUCAGCGUGUUGGUGGGGUAAUGGCCUACCAAGGCGGCGACGGGUAGCCGGCCUGGGAGGGUGGACGGCCACCUUGGGACUGAGAUACGGCCCAGACUCCUACGGGUGGCAGCAGUGGGGAAUAUUGCCCAAUGGGCGCCAGCCUGAUGCAGCGACGCCGCGUGGGGGAUGACGGCCUUCGGGUUGUAAACUCCUUUCGCUAGGGACGAAGCUUUUUGUGACGGUACCUAGAUAAGAAGCACCGGCUAACUACGUG
rnacentral:rRNA from 1 species